rnacentral:lncRNA from 1 species
UACCUCCCCUUGUGUAGCCCUUUUUCGUUUUCCUUUUCCUUUCUUCUUCUUUUGUUUCUCUUUUCUUUCUUUUUUUUUCUUUGUUGACCCGCUUGGGUUUUUCUUGUACUCGCGCUUCUUGCGCUUUCUCCUUAAUAAAAAUGACACGUUGCUUGGCGUGUUUGAGAAAAAAAGGGUCCGACGAGGCCACAAAUCCGUUGGUC